UGGGCGUAAACAACUAUAACCGAAGUCCAUACUCAUACCCGAACCGAAGUAACGGGUUCGGAUCGGUAGCGGAUCCUUGUUAAACACCGAAUGGAUCUUAAGCUUUUGCCUUUCGGUUAUCUGAUCGGUUCGGUCGUAAACCGAGGCCCGAACUAAGCACCGGGCUAAACCGAAAUAUAUAAUUUUUUGUUAUACACAGUUUCAUGUAUUCUCCUCUCUCACCUGUUCUGUUUUUUUUUUCCUUCGGCUACCAAACCCUAAUCCUAAAAGGACAAAGCUCUUUUGAUUCGAUCAUAAUAAUAAAUUAGAACAAUAAAUUUCUUUGUCUCUCUGUCUCCUGCUUUAUCUGAGAAUUAGAAGAACCAAAAUCAGUUACAGAUAGAUUCUACAUCAUCUUUUGGUUGAGAAACCAUAACAAAGCAGAUGAAUGUUAUGACCGAGCAUUUGGUUUAGUUCGUGUUGUCUAGUACUUUAGUACUGUUAUGUGACUUUCGAUUUCAAUAUUUUUUGAAGUUUUAGACUGGAGUUUGUUCUAUUUUGAUGUGUUAAUAAAUGAGGUUCGUUUUUU